rnacentral:lncRNA from 1 species
GGUGAAGCCCUGAGCAACAUGUGGUCUGGUACUGCUAGAUUCAUGAGUCCCCAUCUGCUCAGAAUUCAAGAUGGGAUCUCUGCUCUUAGCAUCAAGACCCUUUUUGAUGAAUGCAAAUGGUGGCUGACAGAAUGUGACUCAGAGGAAAGACUGACAGUCUACAUCAGUCUCCUGAUUUACAGCACAUUUAACUCUCCUGAGUCAACACAAAGAAAAAGAAACAGGAUAUUAGUAACGAGAAGAAAAGCCAUGUGAAUCCAUAGGGAGAAGGCAGCUGUCUGCAUACCAGGAGGAGAGCUCCCACCCGAACCCAACCAUAGUGCCACCCUGAUCUUGUACUUCCAGCCUCUCAGCUGAUUCAGGCUACUUUAAGCCUGAAAUAAAUCCUCUCACCUUGGAGGAGGUCGGCAGCCAUUUGUUACUCAGCCAGCCUCAGAGCACCUGGGAUGCCUGAGCCCUGAGGUUGCAAAAAGAG